AGUAAUCAGAUCAGCAGUGAAAGUGGAUCAAGAUACGAUAUCUCCUGCACCACCAAUACUGAAAUAAACCGCAUAGCUCAUGAGCAUUCAACGCAGAAGACGCUUUCUCUCAAGGUAGACUUGUAUCUGAUUCUGAGUAGAAGACUUCAAGUUCAGGAAGGCAUAUCAGUCCCAAUGAGGCUUGUGAACCAGCUCAUGGAGAAGAAAGGAGAGGAGUCGUGAGGAGCGGCGAGUCAAGAGUGAGCACGAAGAGAGGAUGAGGAAGAUGGAAGAGGAGGGAAGAGAAAGGCACUCUGGGCAAAGGGACUGCCCUGGCAGCAGGGCUGUGGUCACAUGAGAGCACGGCUGGCACCUUUGGUGCCCUUGCUCCCUUUGCACUGGGCGACCUCCCUGUAAGCAGGGCUCGGGUCUUUGCUUUUGUUGGCCUUUUGCCAUGUUGCUCCUUGGCUGCCUGGAGAGAGGGACGAGCCUGUAAGGAGGCUGCGAGUCCCUUUCUCCGCCCCGGAGGGGACAGGGAGCUCACCGGAACCCAGGCCCGCCCUGUAAGCAGGGCCGGGCUCUUUGCCCCCUGCGGCUUUCCGCCUGCCGGCCCCUGGCCGGCGCCACCCCCGCGCUCGGGGUGUGUGCCAGCAUUGGCCCUUUGGCGCCCCGUGAAGCCCCUUGGCAUGUUGAGUGCUCCGGCCUCCAUGCAGCCUGGGGGCAGGCCUGAGCCUCUCCUCCCGCUCCUGGGUACGGACCGGGCCCCCGACGUUGGCUGGCUGCCCUGGGCUCCCUUUCUCUCCUGGAAAGCCGUGUUACAUGUCUCCUGUCUCCUGUGCUUGUCUCUUUCCUCUUGUCCUCUGUCCUGUUGGGAGUGAGUGAGCUAAUGAGUGAGCUUGUCCUUUAGGCCUCUGUAAAAAACGCUGCAGCGCGUUUAGCUCCGGCUUCCCAGGCCUGAAAGAAGGGCUCUGGGCAGUAGCAGAGGGGUCCCGUCUCGGGCCCAGAUUUGAGGAGGGGGAGAGUUCCGGCUUGCCCCUUCCUCCCCCGGGCAGAGCGGAGCCACUUGGUAAUGGUGUGGGCGAGGGGACCUGCCCGUAGUCGGGGCCCAGGUCUGUGCCCGCGUGGCCGCCUGUCCUGCUGGCCACGUGGCCAGCGUGGCGGCCCUGUAGUCAGGGCGUGCGUCACAAGCCGUGGAGCCCUGUGCGCCCGGAGCAGCUUGGCCUCCCUGUAAGCAGGGCGGAGGGGCCUGCCCUCCCGCGGCCUGCUGCUUUAGCCAGCCACCAGGAAUGACCCCUCCCCGGCCCGCUAAGGGGGCAGGCGGAGGAAGUGCCCUGCCGCAGGGCGCUGUGCGGCCUCCGGGCCGCUUCUUCUGGGGGCCACCUGCCCACAGCCGGGCUCGAGGUGCCCCCUGGGCUCCUGCAGACGUGCUGUUGUGCUGCAGCCAGGCUGGCCAGCCCGUAAGCCGGGCCUAGGCCAGAGCCUCCUGCCCCAUGGGGCUCGGGGCUAGUGCCAGCGCUGGGGGCAGCGGCCUGUAAGCAGGGCCGCGCGUGUUCCCUGUGCUGUGCAGGAGGUGCUGGGAGCGCCCGCCUGUAAGGAGGUGGGUUGUGCGGGGCCCCCGCCUUUGAGAGGCGCGGGGUCCGGGGCUGUGGGGCCAGGCGGGCCCUCCCUGUAGUCAGGGCGAGGGUGCCGGCCCCCGGCCUUUGGCCGGCGUGCUCGCUGCCUGGCUGCUGCGAGUCAUUCCUGUGGCCCUGGGGGAAGGCUGAGCUCUCUGUCUGCCUGGGUGUCGUGGCCCUCCCUGUAAUCGGGGUGCGGGCCUGGAGCCUGCGUGCUCAGCUGGCAGCCGGUUUGGGGCGACCGCCCCGUUAGCGGGGCCCAGGUCAGAGUGCCCCUGCAUGGGAGAGAAGGAGCCUCCCUCUGCCGCGGGGCCCCGGGCUGCCCUGUAGCUCGGGGACUGGCCUGUGCCCUGGGGCCCCGGCCUUAGGCAGGUGGGGCAGUGGCCCCGGCCCCCUGUAAGCAGGGCUGAAGCCUCCUGGGCCACUGCUCUCCGUGCCCAGCUCCAUUUGCCCAGAGUGCCCGCCUCUGACCCCCGCUGCAGCUUCAAUCAAGACCGCUGGACACCUCGUCAGCUGGAGGCCGUGCAGUGGGCAGCGGCUGCUGCUCAUGGAGAAGAAAGGAGAGGAGCCGUGAGGAGCGCGAGUCAAGAGUGAGCACGAAGAGAGGAUGAGGAAGAUGGAAGAGAAAGCCUGUGCCCGGCGGAGGCAGCGGGAGGACCUGAGCAUGGGGCGUCGCAGUCUCCUCUUGUCCUGGAGCAGCUUCUGGAUCUCCCUUUUUCCCAGUUACUGAAUAAAAUGCUUUGUCAGCUUGUAGGUCCCCCUACCCCCGGGCCCAUUUCACACCCAGCUCUGCUGUAACUCACACCAGGCCCAUUGCACUGCACAGGCGGUCUGAACUUUGGCCCAGCUGUUGGAGGUUUUGCUGUUGUGAGGCUAGUGUGUGCUUGUCCUUAGUGGUGGCAAGGGGCGGACGUCAACGACUGUGUGGCAGCAGCUUCCAGGUAGGAGUGCGGUGGUAGUGCAGGGUUGUUGUGGAGGUGUUGUGGUAGUUCAGGGUGCUUGUGGUAGGAGUGCAGUGGUAGUGCAGGGUUGUUGUGGUAGGAGUGCGGUGGUAGUUUAGGGUUGUUGUGGAGGUGUUGUGGUAGGAGUGCGGUGGUAGUGCAGGGUUGUGGUAAGAGUGCGGUGGUAGUGCAAGGGUGUUGUGGAGGUGUUGUGGUAGGAGUGUGGUGGUACUGCAGGGGUGUUGUGGUAGACUUGAAGUGGUAGUGCAGGGUUGUUGUGGAGAUGUUGUGGUAGGAGUGCGGUGGUAGUGCAGGGUUGUGGUAGGAGUGCGGUGGUAGUGCAAGGGUGUUGUGGAGGUGUUGUGGUAGGAGUGUGGUGGUACUGCAGGGGUGUUGUGGUAGGCCUGCGGUGGUACUGCAGGGGUGUUGUGGAGGUGUUGUGGUAGGUGUGCGGUGGUAUUGCAGUGCUGUAGGAGGAUUUAUUUUGGCUUGUCCGUGGCCUGCGGCAGCAGCACGCAGUGUUUAGCAUGAGGGGAUGAGGGUGCGCCAGCUGUAGCGGCCUGUUCAGUGCAGAGUAGGGGGCAGAGGGGAGGUCGCCUGUGCGGUGCAAUUGGAUGGGGGUGCGGAGUUGGUGUGAGUGGGGUGUUGAAAACAGCCCCGCCCCAGGCCCCCACCCCGGCCCCCUCGGCCCUGCCCCUGUGCCACUGUUGCCCUAGUUGUCUUUUUACUGUUGCGUUUGUGACUGAGCUGACAGAAAUCAAAGACCCCGUGUGCUCUCUUUGCA